GACGUAGGGCGCGAGCGUUGUCCGGAUUUAUUGGGCGUAAAGAGCUCGUAGGCGGCUCGUUGCGUCAACCGUGAAAACCCGGGGCUUAACUUCGGGCUUGCGGUUGAUACGGGCGGGCUGGAGUUCGGUAGGGGAGACUGGAAUUCCUGGUGUAGCGGUGAAAUGCGUAGAGAUCGGGAGGAACACCAGAGGCGAAGGCGGCGACCUGGACAAGCACUGACACUCAACUACGAAAGCGUGGGGAGCAAACAGG
rnacentral:rRNA from 1 species